rnacentral:pre_miRNA from 1 species
CGAAGGUGCAUUGUAGUCGCAUUGUCUGUAAGUUAUAAUAAAAAUUCAAACAAUACUUCUGCAAUGCAAACUUUG